GGAACUCGACCGAUAUUACGCUCAGUUUUAUAGCCUGCGUUUACACCAGCAGGUUUAUACGUUCGUGUUUAGUGGAAGCGCGGUGAGAUGAUUUACAGUGCCCGCGGGACUACACUCUGACCUACACACAAGCUGGCAUCUGCAACAAGAAGGACACUUUUGCAUGUACACAUAAAAAUACUAUUUAUUACAUCUGCAGAAAACAACAAUUGUCAAGUGACCAUUAAAUAGUUCUACCAUCAUGGAACUUGACGCGUCUAUCAUUCUCCCUGCGCUCUUCUUUACCAUUCUUGCUGUUGUCUUGGCUGCCAAAUUCAUCCCCAAAAAACAACCAGAGGAGAAGAAGAAGACGAUUAAAGUAGGCAACAGAGACGACAUUCCUCCUGCCAGAGCAUUGACACCAGCAGUAGCAGUAGUGGAUGUACCAAAAGUGGAGAUACCACCACCGGUGAUAGUACCAAAAGUGGAGGUACCCCCACAAGUCGUAGAAGCUGAAGUAAUAACCGAACCAGUAACAGUUGCCCCAGUAGUUGAAGAGAUCAAUGUUGUAGAAGAAGAUACAGUUAAAGAGCCUGAAAUGAUCCCCGAUGUUCAGGCUGUGCCAGAGCCUGUGCCAGAGACCGUGGUUGAGCCAGAUCCCGUGCCUGAGCCCAUCCCUGAGCCAGACCUCAUCCCAGUCGUUGUUGAGAAGCCCAUCCUUGAGCUCAUCGCCGAACUUGAACCUGUAUCUGUGGUGAAGGAGGUCCCCGCCAGAGAGCCCACCCCUGAGCCAGCAAGGGAACCCACCCCUGAGCCAGCAAGGGAACCCAACCCCAAGACAGCGAGGGAACCCACCCCUGAGCCCAUCUUCAUGCCAGAGCCAGAGGACCUUGAGAGCAACGCUGAGGAGGUGCACUUUACCCCAGGAAUGAAGAUUAGCAAGUUAGAGAAGCUGAUGACCAAGGAGGAGAUGGAGUAGGAGCAGAGGAUAGAGCUCACACCUGACUUUACCUCUCUAGAAGCAACAUCGACAAGCACACUGGUGCAAAACGAUCAGUUGGCGGCCAUCUUUCUCCUGCUGAUGCAGAACCAGGAGGCACUAGGGGAGGUGACUGAGGGAGACAUGGAGGAGCAGCUCAAACUCUACUCCCUGUAACAGAAUGGGGCAGUUCUGUUAUUGUCAACCUUGUAUAGGGCUAAAUAGCCUGUUCCCCUUUUUAAAGUGCAGGUGUCAAGCAGAGCAACUGUCGAUGUUUAAUACUGUAUUUAUGUUUGACUUAUCAUGUCAGGUCAGAAUGAUCCAUAACAGACAAAGACAAUAGGUUUAAUACUCUGACAUACUGUAGAGGGAUAGGUUAAAUGGCAUUACCCAUAAGACCAAAACAAAUUGUACAAUACUUGAAUGUAAGACACAAGUCUUUACACUGUUCAUGGUAACAUUGGUUAUCAUAAAGUAUGGAAAUGUUACAGUUGCUUUAAAAAUCACAUGUUCUUAGAGUAUGAACAAUUUAAUGAACAAACAAUUGCAGUAACAUAUUUACAUUAAGUAUAUCAAUAACACACUUUGUUUAUAUUACUUACAUUUUUUAUGAAAUAUUGUUGGUAAGUCACAUACAUGUAUGUAUUUUCAGUCGUAAAGAAAAUGUUUAGUGUUAAUAUAGGUAAUAUUGAAAUAUACACUUAGUGUACAAAACAUGACAUAGACUAACCAGUUAAAUCCAGGUGAAAGCUAUGAUCCCUUAUUGAUUUUACUUGUUAAAUCCACUUCAGUCAGUGUAGGUGAAGGGGAGGAGACAGGUUAAAGAAGGAUUUUUAAACCGGGAGACAAUUGAGACAUGGAUUGGGUGAAUGGGCAAACAAAAGCUUUAAGUGCUUUGAAGGGGUUAUGGGUUGUAGGUGCCAGGUGCACCGGUUUGAGUGUGUCAAGAACUGCAAAGCUGUUGGGUUUUUCAUGCUCAACAGUUUCCUGUGUGUAUCAAGGUCCACCACCUGUCGGAAGCAUUGGAGUCAACAUGGGUCAGCAUCCCUGUGGAAUGUUUUCGACACCUGUAGAGUCCAUGCCCUAACAAAUUUAGGAUGUUCUGAGGGAAAAGGGGGGGUAUUGGGUAGGUGUUCCUAAUGUUUGUACACUCAGUGUAUAUGCUUUUCAUAUAUUCUAUACACUCCAUAUUUUGAAUCAAAUGUUUUUAAUGGAUGUACGUACUGUACGGAGAUAUUUUAGUAGUUUAGUAAUCACUUCCUAGUAUAAAUUGGCUUCAUCCUCUUGCCAUAACAUUUGUAAGCUGUGUUGGCAUCAUUCUACGUAGCACCACAGGUGAGAAGAUUAAGGACACCAAGUCUGGAUCAGAGAAGAAGUAGGGUUUUAGUGGAAUACCCACAGAACCUUUUCAGCUCAUUUAUCAUCUGAUUUUCUUAACAAAAGGCAUAUAUCCAUAGGUGGUCCAGGUGUCCUCCGACAUGGCACAAAUGUUCUCUAUUGCUCCUCCAUUUUUCCCUAAUCAAGGUGGGACGCCGAUGACAUCAGAGGGCAACAUGAAAAAAUUAUUUUGCUCAAAACAUAUUUUUUUACUCUUAAAGCCGAGCUCCGCACUUGUAGAAACAGCGCCACUGCCAGGGGUAGAAAAGUUACAGUCAUACUUGAGUAAAAGUAAAGAUACCAUCAUAGAAAAUGACUCAAGUAAAAGUGAAAGUCACCCAGUAAAAUACUACUUGAGUAAAAGUCUAAAAGUAUUUGGUUUUAAAUAUACUUAAGUAUCAAAAGUAAAUGGAAUUGCUCAAAUGUACUCAAGUAUCAAAAGUAAAAGUAUAAACCAGACACAA